CUUUCCGCUCGGCCGCCGCAGCCGCAGUUGUAGCUGCGGCGACGACUAGGGGCGGGGCCGGUGGCUGCAAGAGCCCGCCAUAUAACCAUAAAACGUUAGCACCAUCCUAGAAUCUCUAGACAGUAAUACAUUUCUGCUGCCAUUUGGAGGAGCCUGCACCACAGAAUCAGGAGGAGUUGAGUCUGACGUGCCUUCAUCUGAAAUUCAGACCUCCCCCCAGAAGAAUUCUUAGUCAGAUUUCAUGGACAUAAUCCAGUCUGCAGUGGUGAUCUUUAAACUUGAAUGAUGCAGCAGAAUCUUCUGAAGGCUUAUUAAAAUCCACUGUGGAGCUCCACUGCCAGCUUCCGAUUCACAUUCUGCCUUUACUUCUGUGUGCUGAAAUACCCAUGGAGAGACUACAGAGAAUUUGAAGUGCAGAACCAGAACAUGGAUAUCCUAAACCGAAAUCCCCAGACACCAGGACUUCAGAGCUAAAAAGGAUCUCUCAGAUGAGCAUACACCAAAACCACGCAGGAAGCUUUUUCCAGAUCUUUUGAGUGGAAUCUCAAGGGAGUGGGUACAAGAACUAGAUUCUCAGUGGUUCUCAAAAUAGGCCUCCUGGACCAGCAGCAUCAGCAUCACCUGCAUCACUUGUUAGACAUGCAAAUUCUUUGGCUCCGCCCCCACACCUCUGGACCAGGGACUCAGGAUGGGCCAGGUGGUCUGUGCUGGACAGAGCCUUCUGUAUGUAGUUCCUGAAGCCUGAUAAAGUCUGAGAACCCCUGAACUAGAGCAAAAAUGUGGGUAGAAUUCUAAGCUUAUUCCUCUUUUUUGGAAGUCCAUCACAACUCUAUUUCAAAUUCAAUAAAAAAAAAAAAUAUUUU